rnacentral:rRNA from 1 species
UUGCGCUAUUUGAUGAGCCCGCGUUUUAGAUUAGCUAGAUGGUCGGGGUAAAGGCCUAACCAUGGCGACGAUCUAUAGCUGGUCUGAGAGGAUGAUCAGCCACACUGGAACUGAGACACGGUCAGACUCCUACGGGAGGCAGCAGUGGGGAAUAUUGGGCAAUGGACGAAAGUCUGACCCAGGCCAUGCCGCGUGUGGUGAAGAAGGCUCUAGGGUUGUAAAGCACUUUAAGUAGGGAGGAAAGGUUGUAGUUUUAAUACGCUGCAACUGUGACGUUACCUACAGAAUAAGCACCGGCUAACUCCGUG